rnacentral:rRNA from 1 species
UAAGGAAUAUUGGGCAAUGGACGCAAGUCUGACCCAGCCAUGCCGCGUGAAGGAUGACGGCCCUAUGGGUUGUAAACUUCUUUUGUACGGGAAAAAAUCCCUGGUCGAGCACCGGGGUUGAUGGUACCGUAAGAAUAAGGAUCGGCUAACUCCGUGCCAGCAGCCGCGGUAAUACGGAGGAUCCAAGCGUUAUCCGGAUUUAUUGGGUUUAAAGGGUGCGCAGGCGGAAUGAUAAGUCAGUGGUGAAAUCUUACGGCUCAACUGUAAAACUGCCAUUGAUACUGUCGUUCUUGAGUAUAGUUGAAGUGGGCGGAAUGUGUCAUGUAGCGGUGAAAUGCAUAGAUAUGACACAGAACACCGAUUGCGAAGGCAGCUCACUAAACUGUAACUGACGCUCAUGCACGAAAGCGUGGGGAGCAAACAGG